rnacentral:rRNA from 1 species
UACGAAGGGGGCUAGCGUUGUUCGGAAUUACUGGGCGUAAAGCGUGCGCAGGCGGCUUCUCAAGUCAGGGGUGAAAGCCCUGAGCUCAACUCUGGAAUUGCCUUUGAGACUGAGUGGCUUGAGUACGAGAGAGGUGAGUGGAAUUCCCAGUGUAGAGGUGAAAUUCGUAGAUAUUGGGAAGAACACCGGUGGCGAAGGCGGCUCACUGGCUCGUAACUGACGCUCAUGCACGACAGCGUGGGGAUCAAACAGG